UAUAACAAGCUGCCCCUAGAUUCUAGCUCAUUUCUGCCAUUUUCUCUGGCACCAAAGGAUCAGUCUUCAAGGGUCUGUGUCUCUGCUACAGUUGGCAGCAGUUGGCCCGUUUUUCAGUUUCUAAAAGGUCAAGGCGGGUUGUGACCUCUCCCUUCAAUGGCUGCUACACCUGUUCAUGGUAAGCAGUCUUGGCCCUCAUGCACACCCACCCCCUGGGAAACCAGAAUGCUAAACUAGUGGAUUUAUUGGACGUUCUUCGUUUCUCUUCCCCAUGUGCUCCGUUAAAUUUCCCGCCAUUUUGUGAGGCCACGCCCACCAAAAAGAGGCACAAACGGGCAAGACUGAUCGAUGGAACAAGAAAGAAAGAAUGGAUGUGAUAUCAAGAGUCAAGCUGUGUCCGGUUUCCAUGGGAGUGUCUCUCUGUGGAGCUGGACAUGUGUUAUGAGGACGAUCUUAGAGUCAUUGGUAUGGGAUUCUCAUGGAUCAAUCACUUCAUUUUGUCCUGUUUGCCCUUGUCUCUCUUCUCCUGUUGGUUGCUGUUUCGAUGACUGAAUGCUACGGUAUCUGCUGGUUUCUCUGAACUUAAUGCUGCCCUCAGCUCUCAAUUGUUUUGCAGUAUGUCCUCUGGCCCCUGUACAGCACCUUUGGAUUAUAUGGA